CCGGAUUGUUUGAAUCAUGGCUCAGGAUGAACGCUGGCGCGUGCCUAAUACAUGCAAGUCGAGCGAACAGACAAGGAGCUUGCUCCUUUGACGUUAGCGGCGGACGGGUGAGUAACACGUGGGUAACCUACCUAUAAGACUGGGAUAACUUCGGGAAACCGGAGCUAAUACCGGAUAAUAUUUCGAACCGCAUGGUUCGAUAGUGAAAGAUGGUUUUGCUAUCACUUAUAGAUGGACCCGCGCCGUAUUAGCUAGUUGGUAAGGUAACGGCUUACCAAGGCGACGAUACGUAGCCGACCUGAGAGGGUGAUCGGCCACACUGGAACUGAGACACGGUCCAGACUCCUACGGGAGGCAGCAGUAGGGAAUCUUCCGCAAUGGGCGAAAGCCUGACGGAGCAACGCCGCGUGAGUGAUGAAGGUCUUCGGAUCGUAAAACUCUGUUAUUAGGGAAGAACAUACUGUAAGUAACUAUGCACGUCUUGACGGUACCUAAUCAGAAAGCCACGGCUAACUACGUGCCAGCAGCCGCGGUAAUACGUAGGUGGCAAGCGUUAUCCGGAAUUAUUGGGCGUAAAGCGCGCGUAGGCGGUUUUUUAAGUCUGAUGUGAAAGCCCACGGCUCAACCGUGGAGGGUCAUUGGAAACUGAAAACUUGAGUGCAGAAGAGGAAAGUGGAAUUCCAUGUGUAGCGGUGAAAUGCGCAGAGAUAUGGAGGAACACCAGUGGCGAAGGCGACUUUCUGGUCUGUAACUGACGCUGAUGUGCGAAAGCGUGGGGAUCAAACAGGAUUAGAUACCCUGGUAGUCCACGCCGUAAACGAUGAGUGCUAAGUGUUAGGGGGUUUCCGCCCCUUAGUGCUGCAGCUAACGCAUAACAUCCCGGCCU
rnacentral:rRNA from 1 species